AUUGAACGCUGGCGGCAGGCUUAACACAUGCAAGUCGAGCGGGGGAGGUUGCUUCGGUAACUGACCUAGCGGCGGACGGGUGAGUAAUGCUUAGGAAUCUGCCUAUUAGUGGGGGACCACAUUCCGAAAGGGAUGCUAAUACCGCAUACGCCCUACGGGGGAAAGCAGGGGAUCUUCGGACCUUGCGCUAAUAGAUGAGCCUAAGUCGGAUUAGCUAGUGGGUGGGGUAAAGGCCUACCAAGGCGACGAUCUGUAGCGGGUCUGAGAGGAUGAUCCGCCACACUGGGACUGAGACACGGCCCAGACUCCUACGGGAGGCAGCAGUGGGGAAUAUUGGACAAUGGGCGGAAGCCUGAUCCAGCCAUGCCGCGUGUGUGAAGAAGGCCUUUUGGUUGUAAAGCACUUUAAGCGAGGAGGAGGCUCUUAAGGUUAAUACCCUUGAUGAGUGGACGUUACUCGCAGAACAAGCACCGGCUAACUCUGUGCCAGCAGCCGCCGUAAAAC
rnacentral:rRNA from 1 species